CAUUCCACACCAAAGCUCAUAAGAUUUUUAUUAAAGCGCUUGCCCAAUAUAAAACACAGUAUUAAAGUACCGGCGAAAUAUUCAACUUGUAAAAAUGCAUGAUCACUUUCUAUCAAUAUUUGAAUGAAUUUUUUUUUGUAAUAACUUCAAGAUGAUCAAACUCUUUUUGUUAAAAUGAAUGAAAUCUGACAUAUCGUUCGUGAUCUCUCCAUAACGAAUUUUGACCUCUCCUCCGAAUUAAAUGAAAUCGAAUUCUCGAUUCGAAUCACUGAUAUUUAUUAAUCGAAGCAAAAGCACAGUCGUUUGAUGUUAAAAUAGUUGUCUACGUUCUGUUGUGCUAUCAAACGAAAUAUGCAUAUCUGUGAACCACGGACUGCGGUUUGAGAAUAAAAAAAAAGAAAAAUCAUUGACAUUUUCAAUUCAAAGUUCAAUUCAUGUCCCCAAGAGUUUUUAGCCACUUUUUUGAUGUUGUUUUCUUUUCGAACGUUGCAACAAACCAAACUGUUUCAUAUCAAUAAGAAUUUGUGAUUCAACCAUGAAAUUAACAUCGAUUUAAAAAAAGAAAACAAUAAUAAUUGUCCAAUUCAUGCUCAAUCACUUAAUUGAUUUCUCAAUUUUCUUUUUGGAAAUGAAUAGAAAAUGAUUUAUUUUUUUCAGAACACAAUAAUUCGAGUAACUCAAAUAGAAAAACAUAAAAAAAAGACAAAGGAUAACUAUGAACUUUGGACAAUAAAUGGAAAAAAAUAUUGAGAAAAUAAUCGAAAAUUGACAAGAAAAUUGGCCGACAAUAACUGUUCAAAUCAUAUUCAAUAAUAAUUAAUUUCAAAUAUCGUUCGUUAUAUCAAAUUGGUCUGUUUUGACUGGAAUACAUUGACACUUGAGCAUUUUUUCUCCCUUAAACACAUAUGUACACAAUAGAGUGUUCUUUUUCGGAACUAGCGCCAACCGUUCUCGGGUCGUGGCGAAGCAAAAUAAAUUCUUAAAAGGCCUUUCUUAACUGUUUCAACAAUUUUCUCAAAUUGUCAAAUUUGACAGCAUAUUCUGCUUUGCCACCACCCGUAAAUUUGUACGGAUGGCUUUAGUACCGAACAGGAACUCUCUGAUACAUAAAACAAAUUUUAGUGGGAGUUGAUCAGCGAAUAAAUAUUGAUAUCGAUGGAUUUUUCAUUUGUAAACAACACAUUCAGAGAAAUACGCUCAAAGGCCACAAUAAUCAUGAGCCCAGUUUAUUUUAAUUGAAUGGAAGAAUAAUGAAGAUAAGAAUUCCGUUCGACGCAAAGUAAGAAGUGGAAUGAAAGAAGAAGAGAAAAAAAAACGAGAAGAAGCCGCAGAAGAAGAUAAAGAGAUAGAUGAAUGAGAUGAAGAGUGGGCAAAAACGAUAGAAGCACGACAAUAAAGCCCAAAUAAUUGAUAAAAACAGUUGCACAAAACCAGUGAAUUUCACCGAAAUAUUUUGAUCGGCAUUGAUUUUAAAAUCCAUAUAAUAUAAAAAGAAACCAUAUCCAUGGAAACUUUGGCUAUGAAACCAAUAAUCAAGGCAUAUUUAUUUAAAUAAAUGUUGACAAUAUUCUAGAGAUUUAUAAAUGAACCACACACAAAUGGUCGAACAAUGUUUGCGGAGCAAAACAGAAAUAAUUUAGCACAUAGCACUUAAGAUUUUAGAUGUUAAGAAGUGUUAAGCAUACAAAUAGAGAAAUGAACGUUAUUAUUACAUAAGGCAUACACACAUAUUAUUGAAAUAAGAGCACAUCAAUUCAAA